rnacentral:rRNA from 1 species
AAUCAACGCUGGCGGCGUGCCUAACACAUGCAAGUCGAGCGGUAAGGCCCUUUCGGGGGUACACGAGCGGCGAACGGGUGAGUAACACGUGGGUGACCUGCCUUUAGCUCUGGGAUAAGCCUGGGAAACCGGGUCUAAUACCGGAUAUGACUCCGCGGCGCAUGUUGUGGGGUGGAAAGCCUUGUGCGGCUGGAGAUGGGCCCGCGGCCUAUCAGCUUGUUGGUGGGGUGAUGGCCACCAAGGCGACGACGGGUAGCCGGCCUGAGAGGGCGACCGGCCACACUGGGACUGAGACACGGCCCAGACUCCUACGGGAGGCAGCAGUGGGGAAUCUUGCGCAAUGGGCGAAAGCCUGACGCAGCGACGCCGCGUGAGGGAUGACGGCCUGGUGUAAC